GUAUAGCUCAGUCUGGCCGGAGCGCCUGGCCUGGGACCAGGAAGUCGGGGGUUUGAGUCCCUUCG
rnacentral:tRNA from 1 species